rnacentral:rRNA from 1 species
AUUGAACGCUGGCGGCAUGCUUUACACAUGCAAGUCGAACGGCAGCGCGGGCUUCGGCCUGGCGGCGAGUGGCGAACGGGUGAGUAAUGCGUCGGAACGUGCCCAGUAGUGGGGGAUAGCCCGGCGAAAGCCGGAUUAAUACCGCAUACGACCUGAGGGUGAAAGCGGGGGACCGAAAGGCCUCGCGCUAUUGGAGGGGCCGAUGUCGGAUUAGCUAGUUGGUGGGGUAAAGGCUUACCAAGGCGACGAUCCGUAGCUGGUCUGAGAGGACGACCAGCCACACUGGGACUGAGACACGGCCCAGACUCCUACGGGAGGCAGCAGUGGGGAAUUUUGGACAAUGGGGGCAACCCUGAUCCAGCCAUGCCGCGUGCGGGAAGAAGGCCUUCGGGUUGUAAACCGCUUUUGUUCGGGAAGAAAUCCUCUGGGCUAAUACCCCGGGGGGAUGACGGUACCGGAAGAAUAAGCACCGGCUAACUACGUG